GUUCCCUCCCCAUGUGAGAUAAUUGUGCUAACUAGCCAAGCCCUUUAUGCUGAACAGGGAAAGGUUUCCUCUUGCUGUCCUGAGGUUUCAAAGAGACAUUCAGUUGGAUGGACUGGAUGGAAUUUUCAUCACAAGGAACGUUGGAGUUUCACUGCUAAGAUGCUGAACACACGCCAUUGACAUUUAAGGUGCUGCAUUUUCAAUUAUCUUGCUUCUUGAGAAUUGUGAAAACAUAAUCACUACUGUUUAACAACAACACCUACAACAACAAUUUACAUCCUGUAAUAUUAUGUAUAUUUUGACAAAUGUCAUAUGUCCUUUGUGAUUUUGAAAAUAAGGUGGUUGCAUUCUUUCUUUUGUGAACUGCUAUGAAGGAUAUUCCCUAUUAGAAGGAUUACUUCAGUAUCCAGUUAUGAAACAUAUAACACCACUGAAUUUGGUAACAAGACAAAAAGCUAAUAUGUAAUAUUUCUUUCUGAAAUGUAAAAAAAAUAAUUGCAGUGUUUUGUUUUGGUACUAAAGUAUGUUGUGAUUUGUUUUUAAAUAGAAAGCCUUAUACUCAAUGUUCAGUGGUACAUUAUUUUUAUUUUGAAUGCUAGUAUAAUCCAAGCAUGUAUUGUACCUUAUUCUGACAUAAAUGGUGUAACCCCCUUAAAUGCUAUCAAGAAUGCCAGAACUGCAAAUUCUGAAUUUCCAGCCAUUAUUUUCCACUAUGGUGAAAAAAGCAUGGUGUGCCAGUCACAAAUGGGAAUAUGAGUGUUAAAAGAAAUCAAUUGUGUGCUGAUUAAGUGUAAAGUUAUAGGAUCUGUUAUCCAGAAACUAUUCAGAAAGCCCCCAUAGAUUUUAAACAACAAUUAAACAAUGUAAGUUAUUCUCCUUUUCUCUGAAAUCAUAAAAGAAUACCUUGUGCCUGAUCCAAACUAAGAUUUAACAAAUUCGUAUUGCAUGCAAAACAACUUAAUUGGGGUUAUUUAAUGUUUUAGUAGACUUAUAAUAUGGUGAUCCAAAUUUCAGAAAGACACCUUAUCCGGAAAACCCCAGGUCCUAAGCAUUCUGGUCCCAUACCUGUACAUAUAUUUUGUUCUACAGACUGUUAUACAUAAGAACUGACAACUUUCCUAACUUUGCAAGCAGUUUAAGCCAUGGAGGCACUCCUAUGUAAAAAAAAGUACAUACCGUUAGAUUUCCUAUAAUAUAUACAUUGUUUUGUUAUUGGUGUUUGUUGGCUUGUCAUUUCCUACUCUAUAUUGUAAUAAGUAUUGCAUGUACGUAUGCGUGCACUGCUUAUCUUACAUUUGCUAUGUUUUCAAUGGGCAACAGUGAAAUAGAUGUAAUAAGGCAAUUCUGGCGAUUAACCACAGAUGCUGAUAGGUUAAUUCUUCUAUGUAUUUGUGUGUGUGCUGUUUAAUGAGAGCAUAGAGGAGCGACCCUUUUGAAACUGCAACAACCCAAUUAUUGGUCAUAUCGCUCUACCGGAAUGAGAAAAGUAA